rnacentral:rRNA from 1 species
GGUUAAGCGACUAAGCGUACACGGUGGAUGCCCUGGCAGUCAGAGGCGAUGAAGGACGUGCUAAUCUGCGAAAAGCGUCGGUAAGGUGAUAUGAACCGUUAUAGCCGGCGAUGUCCGAAUGGGGAAACCCAGUGUGAUUCGUCACACUAUCGUUAACUGAAUACAUAGGUUAACGAGGCGAACCGGGGGAACUGAAACAUCUAAGUACCCCGAGGAAAAGAAAUCAACCGAGAUUCCCCCAGUAGCGGCGAGCGAACGGGGAGCAGCCCAGAGUCUGAAUCAGCUUGUGUGUUAGUGGAACGGUCUGGAAAGUCCGACGGUACAGGGUGAUAGUCCCGUACACCAAAAUGCACAGGUUGUGAACUCGAAGAGUAGGGCGGGACACGUGGUAUCCUGUCUGAAUAUGGGGGGACCAUCCUCCAAGGCUAAAUACUCCUGACUGACCGAUAGUGAACCAGUACCGUGAGGGAAAGGCGAAAAGAACCCCGGCGAGGGGAGUGAAAAAGAACCUGAAACCGUGUACGUACAAGCAGUGGGAGCACCUUCGGGUGUGACUGCGUACCUUUUGUAUAAUGGGUCAGCGACUUAUAUUCUGUAGCAAGGUUAACCGUAUAGGGGAGCCGCAGGGAAACCGAGUCUUAACUGGGCGUUAAGUUGCAGGGUAUAGACCCGAAACCCGGUGAUCUAGCCAUGGGCAGGUUGAAGGUUGGGUAACACUAACUGGAGGACCGAACCGACUAAUGUUGAAAAAUUAGCGGAUGACUUGUGGCUGGGGGUGAAAGGCCAAUCAAACCGGGAGAUAGCUGGUUCUCCCCGAAAGCUAUUUAGGUAGCGCCUCGUGAACUCAUCUUCGGGGUAGAGCACUGUUUCGGCUAGGGGGUCAUCCCGACUUACCAACCCGAUGCAAACUACGAAUACCGAAGAAUGUUAUCACGGGAGACACACGGCGGGUGCUAACGUCCGUCGUGAAGAGGGAAACAACCCAGACCGCCAGCUAAGGUCCCAAAGUCAUGGUUAAGUGGGAAACGAUGUGGGAAGGCACAGACAGCCAGGAUGUUGGCUUAGAAGCAGCCAUCAUUUAAAGAAAGCGUAAUAGCUCACUGGUCGAGUCGGCCUGCGCGGAAGAUGUAACGGGGCUAAACCAUGCACCGAAGCUGCGGCAGCGACACUAUGUGUUGUUGGGUAGGGGAGCGUUCUGUAAGCCUGCGAAGGUGACCUGUGAGGGUUGCUGGAGGUAUCAGAAGUGCGAAUGCUGACAUAAGUAACGAUAAAGCGGGUGAAAAGCCCGCUCGCCGGAAGACCAAGGGUUCCUGUCCAACGUUAAUCGGGGCAGGGUGAGUCGACCCCUAAGGCGAGGCCGAAAGGCGUAGUCGAUGGGAAACAGGUUAAUAUUCCUGUACUUGGUGUUACUGCGAAGGGGGGACGGAGAAGGCUAUGUUAGCCGGGCGACGGUUGUCCCGGUUUAAGCAUGUAGGCUGAUUGUCCAGGCAAAUCCGGAUAAUCAAGGCUGAGGUGUGAUGACGAGGCACUACGGUGCUGAAGUAACAAAUGCCCUGCUUCCAGGAAAAGCCUCUAAGCAUCAGGUAACAUUAAAUCGUACCCCAAACCGACACAGGUGGUCAGGUAGAGAAUACCAAGGCGCUUGAGAGAACUCGGGUGAAGGAACUAGGCAAAAUGGUGCCGUAACUUCGGGAGAAGGCACGCUGGUGUGUAGGUGAAGUCCCUGCGGAUGGAGCUGAGACCAGUCGAAGAUACCAGCUGGCUGCAACUGUUUAUUAAAAACACAGCACUGUGCAAACACGAAAGUGGACGUAUACGGUGUGACGCCUGCCCGGUGCCGGAAGGUUAAUUGAUGGGGUUAUCCGUAAGGAGAAGCUCUUGAUCGAAGCCCCGGUAAACGGCGGCCGUAACUAUAACGGUCCUAAGGUAGCGAAAUUCCUUGUCGGGUAAGUUCCGACCUGCACGAAUGGCGUAAUGAUGGCCAGGCUGUCUCCACCCGAGACUCAGUGAAAUUGAACUCGCUGUGAAGAUGCAGUGUACCCGCGGCAAGACGGAAAGACCCCGUGAACCUUUACUAUAGCUUGACACUGAACAUUGAGCCUUGAUGUGUAGGAUAGGUGGGAGGCUUUGAAGCGUGGACGCCAGUCUGCGUGGAGCCAACCUUGAAAUACCACCCUUUAAUGUUUGAUGUUCUAACGUUGGCCCCUGACCGGGGUUGCGGACAGUGUCUGGUGGGUAGUUUGACUGGGGCGGUCUCCUCCCAAAGCGUAACGGAGGAGCACGAAGGUUAGCUAAUCCUGGUCGGACAUCAGGAGGUUAGUGCAAUGGCAUAAGCUAGCUUGACUGCGAGCGUGACGGCGCGAGCAGGUGCGAAAGCAGGUCAUAGUGAUCCGGUGGUUCUGAAUGGAAGGGCCAUCGCUCAACGGAUAAAAGGUACUCCGGGGAUAACAGGCUGAUACCGCCCAAGAGUUCAUAUCGACGGCGGUGUUUGGCACCUCGAUGUCGGCUCAUCACAUCCUGGGGCUGAAGUAGGUCCCAAGGGUAUGGCUGUUCGCCAUUUAAAGUGGUACGCGAGCUGGGUUUAGAACGUCGUGAGACAGUUCGGUCCCUAUCUGCCGUGGGCGCUGGAGAAUUGAGGGGGGCUGCUCCUAGUACGAGAGGACCGGAGUGGACGCAUCACUGGUGUUCGGGUUGUCAUGCCAAUGGCACUGCCCGGUAGCUAAAUGCGGAAGAGAUAAGUGCUGAAAGCAUCUAAGCACGAAACUUGCCCCGAGAUGAGUUCUCCCUGAGACUAUAAGUCUCCUGAAGGAACGUUAAAGACGAUGACGUUGAUAGGCCGGGUGUGUAAGCGCAGCGAUGCGUUGAGCUAACCGGUACUAAUGAACCGUGAGGCUUAACCUU